rnacentral:rRNA from 1 species
GACGAGGGGUGCAAACGUUAUUCGGAAUGAUUGGGCGUAAAGGGUGCGUAGGCGGCUUAUUAAGUCAACCGUUAAAUUUCUCAGCUUAACUGAGAGUGUGCGGUAGAAACUGAUGGGCUUGAGGAUGGGAGAGAGAAGUGGAAUUCUCGGAGUAGCGGUAAAAUGCGUAGAUCUCGAGAGGAACACCGAUGGCGAAGGCAGCUUCUUGGCCCAUUUCUGACGCUGAGGCACGAAAGCGUGGGGAGCAAACAGG